rnacentral:rRNA from 1 species
AACGAACGCUGGCGGCAUGCCUAACACAUGCAAGUCGAACGAGACCUUCGGGUCUAGUGGCGCACGGGUGCGUAACGCGUGGGAACCUGCCCUUAGGUUCGGAAUAACUCCCCGAAAGGGGUGCUAAUACCGGAUAAUGUCUUCGGACCAAAGAUUUAUCGCCUUUGGAUGGGCCCGCGUUGGAUUAGCCAGUUGGUAGGGUAAAAGCCUACCAAGGCGACGAUCCAUAGCUGGUCUGAGAGGAUGAUCAGCCACACUGGGACUGGGACACGGCCCAGACUCCUACGGGAGGCAGCAGUGGGGAAUAUUGGACAAUGGGCGAAAGCCUGAUCCAGCAAUGCCGCGUGAGUGAUGAAGGCCUUAGGGUUGUAAAGCUCUUUUACCCGGGAUGAUAAUGACAGUACCGGGAGAAUAAGCUCCGGCUAACUCCGUG